rnacentral:rRNA from 1 species
AGAGUUUGAUCCUGGCUCAGCAUGAACGCUGGCGGUACGUCUGACGCAUGCAAGUCGAACGGGAUCCGGGGCUUCGGCCUCGGUGAGAGUGGCGAACGGCUGAGUAACACGUAGGAACCUACCCUUCGGUCUGGGAUAACUCCGCGAAAGCGGGGCUAAUACCGGAUGAUACUUUCGGGUUAAAAGCUCCGGCGCCGAAGGAGGGGCCUGCGGCCUAUUAGCUUGUUGGUGGGGUAACGGCCUACCAAGGCAAUGAUGGGUAGGUGGUCUGAGAGGACGAUCACCCAGACUGGGACUGAGACACGGCCCAGACUCCUACGGGAGGCAGCAGCUCAGAAUCUUGCACAAUGGGCGAAAGCCUGAUGCAGCGAUACCGCGUGAGGGAAGAAGGCCUUCGGGUUGUAAACCUCUGUUAGGGGGAACGAAUAAUGACGGUACCCCCAGAGAAAGCCUCGGCUAACUACGUGCCAGCAGCCGCGGUAAAACGUAGGAGGCGAGCGUUAUCCGGAAUUACUGGGCGUAAAGCGUUCGUAGGCGGCUUCGUGUGUCGGAGGUGAAAGCCCCGGGCUCAACCCGGGAACUGCCUCCGAAACUGCGGGGCUUGAGCGCAUCAGAGGGUGAUGGAAUUCCCGGUGUAGCGGUAAAAUGCUUAGAUAUCGGGAGGAACACCUGUGGCGAAGGCGGUCACCUGGGGUGUUGCUGACGCUGAGGAACGAAAGCCAGGGGAGCGAACGGGAUUAGAUACCCCGGUAGUCCUGGCUGUAAACGAUGGGCACUAGGUGCUGGGAGAUUCGACCCUUUCAGUGCCGCAGCUAACGCAUUAAGUGCCCCGCCUGGGGAGUACGACCGCAAGGUUAAAACUCAAAGGAAUUGACGGGGGCCCGCACAAGCGGUGGAGCAUGUGGUUUAAUUCGAUACAACGCGAAGAACCUUACCUGGACUUGACAUCCCGCUGAAAGCACCUGGAGACAGGAGCCUUCCUUCGGGACAGCGGAGACAGGUGGUGCAUGGCUGUCGUCAGCUCGUGCCGUGAGGUGUUGGAUUAAGUUCCGCAACGAGCGCAACCCUCGCCGUUAGUUGCCAGCAUUUAGUUGGGCACUCUAGCGGGACUGCCGGCGUCAAGCCGGAGGAAGGUGGGGACGACGUCAAGUCAUCAUGCCCCUUACGUCCAGGGCUACACACGUGCUACAAUGGCCGGUACAACGGGUUGCCACCUGGCGACAGGGAGCGAAUCCCUUAAAGCCGGUCUCAGUUCGGAUUGGAGGCUGCAACUCGCCUCCAUGAAGUUGGAAUCGCUAGUAAAUGCGGAUCAGUAUGCCGCAUUGAAUACGUUCCCGGGCCUUGUACACACCGCCCGUCACACCACGAAAGCCGGUAACACCCGAAGUCGCUGGGCCAACCCCUAAGGAAACGAAGGGGAGGCAGGUGCCGAAGGUGGGAUUGGUGAUUGGGGUGAAGUCGUAACAAGGUA